AAUUACAGAUCUUUUAAAAAAAAGAAUUACAGGAUUGGAAUUGAACUGUCCGGCCAUUCCCAGAGUGCGAAUGGGUUAAGUUUUUUUCAUUCCGAGGA
rnacentral:lncRNA from 1 species